rnacentral:sRNA from 1 species
UGUUUCUUCUCAUUGAGCUAUUAUUCAUCCAUUAGCUCGGAGUUGACAUUAAACACUACAAGCUGCCAACUAAAACUAAUAAAAUGAAGAUUGUUUUAAUAAUCAGUUGUUUGACAAUAUUGAGCUUUGCCUACACCAUGGCACAGAAUACAGGCUGCGUGUCUGGAGGAGUUACUUAUCAGGAUGGUGACAACUUCGCUGAAGGCUGUAACUAUUGUGAGUGUAACGAGGGCAAUGUUGUUUGUUAUCCGGGACCAUGUGGUUUGAUUUAUUGUGGAAAGAACAUACGUCCAGUCCAAAAGGAUGGCGAGUGUUGUCUGUCAUGUCCAGAUGAAUAAACAGCUCUGUGUUUCAAACGC